GCUUCAACGCUCCAAAAAAAAAAAAAAAAAAAAAAAAGACACUGCAGAAAAUGGCGUCUUGAUGUGGUGAAGAAGACGAGUAGUCAAAACGAAGAUGGUGAGAGGGUCGUCCAAAUGGGUCGCUCCUUUCUUCCUCUGCUUGUUGCUUUCACUCCACAAAAUUCAGGGUCAAGAAGAAUCUACAACUUCAAGAACUCCAAAGCAAGAGCUGGGAGAUGCUGUUGAGGUACAUUGUUCAAGAGAAAGAAGUAGGGCAGCAUGGAAAAUAAUUGAGGAGUAUUUGAUGCCAUUUGUAGACAAAGAACGGUAUCAACUUUCCAGGAGGUGUAGGCUGCAUCCUGAUAAUGACCUGUACAGAGAUCAGGAACAGCAUAAGAUUCGUCUGGAUAUAAAUGAAUGGCAAUGUGGAUACUGCAAAAAAAGUUUCUAUGAAGAGAAAUAUCUCGAUAAGCAUUUUGACAAUAGGCACUACAAUUUGCUGAACGUGAGUCAUAGCAGGUGCUUGGCAGAUGUAUGUGGAGCUUUGCAUUGUGACCACGUGAUGGAUAUUUCACUCAAGACCAAGUGCAAUCCAGCUGCUGCUGCAAGAAAUCAUCUUCUGUGUGAGAGUCUAGCUGAUAGUUGUUUUCCUGUCAACGAGGGUCCUUCUGCAAGCCGCCUUCAUGAGUUCUUCUUACGCCAAUUCUGUGAUGCCCACACUUGCAAGGGAAAUCAGAAACCCUUCUCUCGAGGACGAAAGAAGAGGAUGAAUAUCUUCUACCUCAUCGUCUCCAUUUUAACCAUACUGCUGCUGCUGCUAUUCUAUACAUACAUGUACUUGUAUCAGAGGGGUAUUAAAAGGGGACCCCAAAAACUGAUACGGGUCUCACAAAGUGGAAGGAAGAAAAAGCCCUCUUAGUUGGUACCACUUUUUCCUUCAUAGCAAACAAUGAUAAUUCGGCAUUUUUUAAUCUUCAGAAAGAGAGAACGCACUGUACAUUCAGUUAGAAUGACAGAAGAUCGACCAAGUUCUAUACCAUUUUUUGUAUUGUUUUUUUUGAAUGCUUUCACCUUCCACAGGGAUCACUGUGUUUGGGUUUACAACUAUAUUCCGACUGCCAUCUGAUUUUUCUAUAGAUAUACAUAAUAUACUGAUUACCCUUCCAAGACUAAAUUGUAAAUUGGUCCUCUGACUAGUAAAAUUGUAAUUGAAAGUUCAAAUUAUGGAGCUGGAAAGUAGACUCUCAUUUAUUC